UGCAGUCGAGCGAACAGAAGGGAGCUUGCUCCCGGAUGUUAGCGGCGGACGGGUGAGUAACACGUGGGUAACCUGCCUGUAAGACUGGGAUAACUCCGGGAAACCGGAGCUAAUACCGGAUAGUUCCUUGAACCGCAUGGUUCAAGGAUGAAAGACGGUUUCGGCUGUCACUUACAGAUGGACCCGCGGCGCAUUAGCUAGUUGGUGGGGUAAUGGCUCACCAAGGCGACGAUGCGUAGCCGACCUGAGAGGGUGAUCGGCCACACUGGGACUGAGACACGGCCCAGACUCCUACGGGAGGCAGCAGUAGGGAAUCUUCCGCAAUGGACGAAAGUCUGACGGAGCAACGCCGCGUGAGUGAUGAAGGUUUUCGGAUCGUAAAGCUCUGUUGUUAGGGAAGAACAAGUGCGAGAGUAACUGCUCGCACCUUGACGGUACCUAACCAGAAAGCCACGGCUAACUACGUGCCAGCAGCCGCGGUAAUACGUAGGUGGCAAGCGUUGUCCGGAAUUAUUGGGCGUAAAGGGCUCGCAGGCGGUUUCUUAAGUCUGAUGUGAAAGCCCCCGGCUCAACCGGGGAGGGUCAUUGGAAACUGGGAAACUUGAGUGCAGAAGAGGAGAGUGGAAUUCCACGUGUAGCGGUGAAAUGCGUAGAGAUGUGGAGGAACACCAGUGGCGAAGGCGACUCUCUGGUCUGUAACUGACGCUGAGGAGCGAAAGCGUGGGGAGCGAACAGGAUUAGAUACCCUGGUAGUCCACGCCGUAAACGAUGAGUGCUAAGUGUUAGGGGGUUUCCGCCCCUUAGUGCUGCAGCUAACGCAUUAAGCACUCCGCCUGGGGAGUACGGUCGCAAGACUGAAACUCAAAGGAAUUGACGGGGGCCCGCACAAGCGGUGGAGCAUGUGGUUUAAUUCGAAGCAACGCGAAGAACCUUACCAGGUCUUGACAUCCUUUGACAACCCUAGAAGAUAGGGCUUUCCCUUCGGGGACAGAGUGACAGGUGGGUGCAUGGUUGUCGUCAGCUCGUGUCGUGAGAUGUUGGGUUAAGUCCCGCAACGAGCGCAACCCUUUGAUCUUAGUUGCCAGCAUUUAGUUGGGC
rnacentral:rRNA from 1 species